AGUGAACGCUGGCGGUAGGCCUAACACAUGCAAGUCGAACGGCAGCACAGUAAGAGCUUGCUCUUACGGGUGGCGAGUGGCGGACGGGUGAGGAAUACAUCGGAAUCUACUUUUUCGUGGGGGAUAACGUAGGGAAACUUACGCUAAUACCGCAUACGACCUACGGGUGAAAGCAGGGGACCUUCGGACCUUGCGCGAUUGAAUGAGCCGAUGUCGGAUUAGCUAGUUGGCGGGGUAAAGGCCCACCAAGGCGACGAUCCGUAGCUGGUCUGAGAGGAUGAUCAGCCACACUGGAACUGAGACACGGUCCAGACUCCUACGGGAGGCAGCAGUAGGGAAUAUUGGACAAUGGGCGCAAGCCUGAUCCAGCCAUACCGCGUGGGUGAAGAAGGCCUUCGGGUUGUAAAGCCCUUUUGUUGGGAAAGAAAAGCAGCAGGUUAAUACCCCGCUGUUCUGACGGUACCCAAAGAAUAAGCACCGGCUAACUUCGUG
rnacentral:rRNA from 1 species